CUUCCCUGGCCAUCUGCAGGGAGAGACCCCGGGAAUGAGGACAUAAGUGGUCCAGGAAGGGAGGACAAUUCCUGGAAAACAGAACUCCACCCUCCAGUCCUGGGCCUGGCCCCCCAGGCCCCGCUUCCUAGGUCGCCUUGCCUUCCUGAAAAAGAAAAAUCUCCUCCUAACCCAGAAAACCUACCACACACACCCUGUGCUACUACUGAGUCAGCAUUAAAUCAGUCAGUGUCCAGCUGGCUGGCCCCUGGUUCCUGCCCCACCUGGGCCUGAGCUCGGUCAGUGCCACGUCCAGUUCCAGUUCCAAUCACGCUGUCUGACAAAGUCCGAGUGUGGGAACAUGGCUUCAAAGAAGCAUAUUCAGGCCUGGAGGACAUGGCACACGUGGAUAUACGGUGUUGAUUCUGUUCGUGCUGACUCUUGGUGUUCUGACAUUUACUUUCCUGAUAAUUUGGAAUCUCCUAGAAAUGAUGGCCAUUCUCAGAGCUGAUCAACAACUAGGUCAGACUGAGAACUAUGCCACCUUGGCCUUUCCCCAAAAUAAUACCCUCUCUGGGGGCCCAGAGGAGGAAAGGCCCACGAUGUCCAGUGAGUCCAAGGGGAAGAAUGUUUCCUUCCCUGACCCAGGUAAGCAGAUGCAGGACAAGUUAACACUAGGUAGCAGGGAGCCAGAGUUACCCAGAGCGCUCCCCCAAGUUAAUCCCCUCUAAUGAAAUAGCCCCUGAAUGUCUAAAAGUUGUUGGAGUAACAGCCCCUCCUUUACCUUGAAUAAGAAUAUAUACCAAUUGGACAGGCAAAGAAAUUUUAAAAGGAGCUGGUUAACUAUUACAAACUAAGCAUGUAGAUAUAAUUACCAAGGAGUCAGAGUCCAUAGUACAUAAAGAAACAUUUUAGACAGAAAGAUAAAUAGCUAAGUUAGACAUCACAAAGGCCUUAUAAUAAAUUUCCUAACCUCUGCUCGGUCUAGCGUACCUUUUGCCCCAUGCCAAAUUUUAGACCCUUAAUAAACAAUAAGAUAUUCAAACUCUGUACAUAGACUUAUUUCAAAUUGUCUGAUUAAUGGUUCUCCUAGUCAAAACAAUUUUUGUAUAAUGUAAUUGAAACUAUAGAAAUUCUUGUACUUUUCCUGGUUACCUUUGUAUUGAUUUUGUCUGCUUAACUGAUCAUGCUAUACACCUGCAAAUGUUAAUCACUACCUCAAAU